GUGACCUCCUGAGGUGCCUUCAACCCUCAUUUUCUAUGAUUUUAUGAAAAUCUCUGAGCUGGUAUUAUAUUUUCAAAUUCAGUAUCAAGCCAGAAUUAACCUUUUCCUGUCUCUGAUCAUUAGUGGAUCACAGGCUGAAGGCUGGGCUUAACAAAAUAACUAUCCAUGUUUAUUCGCUGCAGAAGCCCAGGGAAGCCCUGAAGAACCAUUCCUUUUCAUGGUUUAUCAGUGCGUAUAUGGAGAUUGACUUGGGGUUAAUUUUUUGAUUCUGAACCCAACAAGAUACAAGAGGAAGGAAAGGCUGGUGUUCUGCGAAGCUCUCUAAAGCUGGAAUGUGACCAGGCAGCGUGAACAGGAAAGAAGAACCACACAGCUCUUGUACUGCACAAAGCUGCCAAAUCUUUCCCAUCUCAGAUGGGACUUGGUUUAGCGCAUGUAGUAGGGAGAGGCUUUCAGUGUUGCUCUGCGAGAGAAAAAUGAAGUCCUUUAAACUGGAUAGUCACAGCCUCAGGGCACUUUUGUUUUUAUUUUCCUUAUUAUUUUGCAGUGCAAGGGGAACGGGGGGGGGCAGAUUUCCCUUCACUGAGUCAUUUGUAUGUUAUAAAAUGUCUUCAGACUGAACCAACCAACAGCCAAGGUCACCACAGACCAGUGUGCCGGAGUGAGAGUAAAUAAAAGCACGUAUAAUACUCAUUCUAUGCAUCAGCAUCCAGUUCUGUAACGGUCUUUAGGUACUGAAAGAUGCAGGUAAGAGCCUAAAGAGCUUUAAUCUGGCCUAAACUAGUAGGGCAUCUAAUUUCUGUUGAACUAUGAUCACUUAAGUGCAUUGUGUAAAUCCUCUCUACCUGCUUUUUUCAUACCUAAAUAGCUUAGUAAAACUGGCCCAAGGUCUCCUACUCCUCAGAGUGCUCGUGUUGUUUGAUGUCAGUGUUUUGGUUCAAAGUCCCUUGUAAGAGCACAAAUCAGAGCCAAAUCCUCAGAGCUCCUCAAGGCAUGGGCAAGGCAGGGAAGGUAAAAGGCCUUUUGCAAUCCUUUGAUUCUCCCAAUCCAGGAACUGCAAUUUAAAGCAGCCCAGCUGCUCUGAUUUGUGCUCUCAGCAGUUCACUAGCCCAGGACUGCUGCAGGGCUCCCUGAAGUUUGUUCCUAUUAAAAUCAGCUGUCCAUCCUCUUUAGCCUGCUGGGGCAGCUCAAAAGUUUUGGGGGUAGAUGGCAGGAUCACGUAGUCUUUGUAGCUCUGAAACAAAAAGAUCAUACCAUGCAUAUUUAAGAGGGCCACCUGACUACUGCACACUCCUUUAUUUUACCCUGUGACACACUUAAACUUCAGAGACUCAGAUGAAGAUGCCGCUGAAUUUUUCAUGGAGGGGCCAGAACUGGCUUGUCACUGAUGGCUGAUAGUGUGAGAGUAGCAUUUGAUCCCAGACCUAAUCAGACUGAGCAGCUCCAUUGGAAACACAGAAGUUUCUUUCCUUUUCAUUUAUUUAUUUUUUUUUGUGAAGAACACAGCUGUGUUUUCUUAACUGCAUCUAUCACUGAAAUGCAGAACUAAGCAGACAAAUGUUUGCACCUCUGAAUGGCUUCAGUGUGAUCCCAGGAAGACUGGCAGAAUCCUAAUCCAAACUAGGGCAGCUCUGGAGACCAUUUAGCAAAUAAUUAAUUAGACUGUCCAUGACAUGCACAUGCCUCCCUCCCGUCUCAAAUACCACACCACUUCUCCACUGCAUUCAGGAAAUUCUGCAAGCAAUGGAAAAUAUUUGUGUAAUGGUGGGCUUACAGAGUAGGCUUUUGGUGUGCUGAGUCAUAUGUUCACAAAGGAAAAAAGGACAAAGGGUGUUAAACAAAGAUGUUCUACUUGGAGCCUGCUGAAGGACAGGCAUGUAUUUAGAAAGAAUAUAAGAAGUUCUUAAGAAAAUGCCCUUAUUGGUGAGCUAUGAGAUGAUUUUUCAGCUCCCCAAGGACAGCCUUCAAAUAGCUUUGUAUUUUUUCUCUGUGCCAAUAUUCCCACAUAUAAUUGCGAAAAGGUUUAAAGGAUUCCUGUGUCCUUCAAGGAAGGUUUUGAAGAAACAGGAACUUGUUGCCUGACAGUCAAGAAGUACUUCUAAGCACAAAGGCAGUCAUGGAAGGUGGCUGAAAGAUGAGAAAAAUAUAGAGGAUGAAGCUGGGACAGAGGCCAAGGUGGAACAAAUGCAGAGAGAGGAGAAUUAAGAAGGAAAAGCAAACUGCUCAGUUCAUUUCAAAUCCAAGGACAUUCCUUUUUCUGUGGUAGAACAGCUCAGAAAGGCUCAGCACUUCUGACCAGUUGAGGAGCGCAGCAGUUUUGUAGGGAAGUGCACGUCAAUUAUAGCAGGUUUCACUCAACCUGGAUGAAGACAACAUUCAUGUUGGUUUCACCUUUGAUGCUAAUUUCCUAAUUUCACUCUUUGUCUUUCUAUUUGAAUCAUAAAGCCCUUUUUUGUUAAUUUUGUUUCAUUUUCCACAUAAGCUUUUUGUAAAGACCCUUCUCUAAAGACAAUAGCCUGCAAAGCAUCAUGAUUAAAAUAAUACUCCCAAGCAAUUGAAACAGAAGGGCCGAGGGCUGAAGGGAACAUUGAAUUCAAAGCUGCU